UCGAUUUGAGUGCCACAGGAAAUUCAACGAUGAAGUGGAUCGGUUUGACUUUCUUGUUGUUGUCAUCCUUGAUGGUGGCAACAGAAGCGCGACCCCAAGCCAGGUUCCCGCCUCACUUUCCUACAAGAGGGCCCUUCAUCCCUCCAUACCCCUGCAACUGUACGUUCCCACCGUGUCCUUGUGAUCCUCCUAGACCCAUCGACUUCUUAAGGGUCAAGCGACAAGUGUGAAGAGGACUCCGGAGGGCUCGGCGACAACUGUGAAGAAGACUCCGGAGGUCCCUGCGACAAGUGUGAAGAGGACUCCUUAGGGCCCUGCGACAACUGUGAAGAGGACUCCGGAGGGCCCUGCGAGUCUUCGGGAUGCUUUUCCUUCUCGUCCACGUCCUCGGAUUCUCUUAAGUGCUUUUCUUAUACUUUUUCAACUGCCUACGUAAAUUAGGUUUUCCUAUGGUCUGUAAAACGUAUCAGGCGUUCUAUUCGCGUCUUGUUUUUGAAAUUUCCUUCUUGUCAUUGCUAGUCUUUUCUUUGUGUAAACAUAAGUUAGUAAGGCUCCAUUAGUGCCUGUGGAAAUCAUUGUUUUUUGUUUCUUUACACUACUUAGCAAAGCCUCCUUAGUGUCUGUACGAAUCUUUUCAAUAAACAAACCAUUGUAUUUUAAACCAUCAACUCAUUACAAGAUUCCUUCAUCAUCAGUCGUAUUUUAUGCAUUCACAACACAGAAGAGGCAAUUAACCCGCUAUACUGUCUUCAAAUAAAUAUUAUCAGUCAA